AUUGAACGCUGGCGGUAGGCUUAACACAUGCAAGUCGAGCGGAAACGAUGUAGCUUGCUACAGGCGUCGAGCGGCGGACGGGUGAGUAACGCGUAGGAACCUACCUAGUAGUUUGGGAUAGCCCAGAGAAAUUUGGAUUAAUACCGGAUACGCCCUACGGGGGAAAGUGGAGGAUCUUCGGACUUCACGCUAUUAGAUGGGCCUGCGUAAGAUUAGCUAGUUGGUGAGGUAAUGGCUCACCAAGGCAACGAUCUUUAGCUGGUUUGAGAGGAUGAUCAGCCACACUGGGACUGAGACACGGCCCAGACUCCUACGGGAGGCAGCAGUGGGGAAUAUUGCACAAUGGGCGCAAGCCUGAUGCAGCCAUACCGCGUGUGUGAAGAAGGCUCUAGGGUUGUAAAGCACUUUCAGUAGGGAGGAAAGGUUAUAGUUUAAUACGCUAUAGCUGUGACGUUACCUACAGAAGAAGGACCGGCUAACUCCGUGCCAGCAGCCGCGGUAAUACGGAGGGUCCGAGCGUUAAUCGGAAUUACUGGGCGUAAAGCGUACGUAGGUGGUUUGUUAAGUUGGAUGUGAAAGCCCAGGGCUCAACCUUGGAACUGCAUUCAAAACUGAUGAACUAGAGUAUGGUAGAGGUAAGUGGAAUUUCCUGUGUAGCGGUGAAAUGCGUAGAGAUGGGAAGGAACAUCAGUGGCGAAGGCGACUUACUGGACCAAAUACUGACACUGAGGUACGAAAGCGUGGGUAGCAAACAGGAUUAGAUACCCUGGUAGUCCACGCCGUAAACGAUGUCUACUAGCCGUUGGGGUCCUUGAGACUUUAGUGGCGCAGCUAACGCACUAAGUAGACCGCCUGGGGAGUACGGUCGCAAGAUUAAAACUCAAAUGAAUUGACGGGGGCCCGCACAAGCGGUGGAGCAUGUGGUUUAAUUCGAAGCAACGCGAAGAACCUUACCUACUCUUGACAUCCACAGAACUUCUGAGAGAUCAGUUGGUGCCUUCGGGAACUGUGAGACAGGUGCUGCAUGGCUGUCGUCAGCUCGUGUUGUGAAAUGUUGGGUUAAGUCCCGUAACGAGCGCAACCCUUGUCCUUAGUUACCAUCAUUUAGUUGGGUACUUUAAGGAGACUGCCGGUGACAAACCGGAGGAAGGCGGGGACGACGUCAAGUCAUCAUGGCCCUUACGAGUAGGGCUACACACGUGCUACAAUGGCUGGUACAAACGGUUGCAAUCUCGCGAGGGUGAGCUAAUCUGAGAAAGCCAGUCGUAGUCCGGAUCGGAGUCUGCAACUCGACUCCGUGAAGUCGGAAUCGCUAGUAAUCGUGAAUCAGAAUGUCACGGUGAAUACGUUCCCGGGCCUUGUACACACCGCCCGUCACACCAUGGGAGUGGGUUGCUCCAGAAGUAAAUAGCUUAACCUUCGGGAGGGCGUUUACCACGGAGUGAUUCAUGACUGGGGUG
rnacentral:rRNA from 1 species